AACGAACGCUGGCGGCGUGCCUAACACAUGCAAGUCGAACGGAGAUAAGGGGCUUGCUCCUUAUUUUAGUGGCGCACGGGUGAGUAACGCGUGGAUAAUCUGCCUGAUGCUCUGGGAUAACAUCUCGAAAGGGGUGCUAAUACCGGAUAAGCCCACGGGGUCUUCGGCUCUUGCGGGAAAAGGAGGGGACCUUCGGGCCUUCCGACAUCAGAUGAGUCCGCGGCCCAUUAGCUAGUUGGUGGGGUAAAGGCCUACCAAGGCGACGAUGGGUAGCUGGUCUGAGGGGAUGAUCAGCCACACUGGAACUGAGACACGGUCCAGACUCCUACGGGAGGCAGCAGUGGGGAAUUUUGCGCAAUGGGGGAAACCCUGACGCAGCAACGCCGCGUGAGUGAUGAAGGCCUUUGGGUCGUAAAGCUCUGUCAGAGGGAAAGAAAUGUGGGCGGCUAAUACUCGUUCCACUUGACGGUACCCUCAAAGGAAGCACCGGCUAACUCCGUGCCAGCCGCCGCGGUAAUAC
rnacentral:rRNA from 1 species